CCCCUCUUUAUACCAAAGGCAAGCUUCUGAUGCUGCACACGCUAUUGAUUCUUGAAGAAGCGUCUGCGAUUCUAGGAGAAGCUUUAAUUUCUCUCCAGAGAUGAGCUUGAUUAUCUAAGAAGCUUUUCCUUUUGCAGAGAUGAUCGUACUUAUGGAAACUCAGAUGCCUUGCACCGCUGCCGGAUCAAGGAUGGAGUGAACUAAAACACUUUGCUAUUACAACUAGCCCUCCCUGUUCCAUGAAUCGACAGGGGAAGAAUUGGCAAUGCUAAAUUGGUGAGAAGAGAGCAAGAGGAAGAUGAUGAGUUGACAUGGAAAAGCGACUUGCGAUAUGUUCAGCGGAUCACCAUGUCAAGGAAUGAGCAGUUAAAUAAGAGUCUUUUCGACAAAAGUAAGAGGGAGUAUUUCAUAACUGAACAUGUGUUAUGUACAAUCUGUUACUGACUGGCAUUGUGAAAAACGCAGAG